rnacentral:lncRNA from 7 species
AUUUUCCUUCUUGAAGCACCAAGGUAAAGGAUGGUAAAAGGAUUUCCUGUCUCUGGACUACAGCUUGGUUUCACAAUUCAAGUGCAGAUCUACAAACAAUAAGAAACAACACCCUUCUGUGCGAGGCAAUUGUAAGGCAGCCAUGGCAGUUCAAAUGCUGGGGAGAACUGUUCUAUGGUACAAGAAGGAGCAGCAUUCUGGCAGCUCUUGCUGAAGCAGCUGGGAAAGUGACCUUAUAAACAGAGCUGGUAUACUCCUCUCUGUUCACAGCCUGAGGAGUUGGAGGUGCUGAAAAACAAAGGAGGCAAACUAUCCUGUCAGUAAUCUGCUUUGCUGGACCCUGGAAACAUUCCUACUCACUGCAGUGACUGUGCAAGUUCUGUGUGCUGAAGCAACAAGUGUGGCACGGUAUGUGGAGAAACACCACUAGUGAAAGGAGCGGGGACCCAGCAGCUGGAUAACCAUAUGCCAGGGCUCUUGGGAUAUCUUGCCAGCCACCAAUUUUUUGUUUGAACCUGAGCCCCCAGCUUCCAGUGCAUUGAUCAGGGAGUACAUCAGAAGCUUUCAAAAGUAAUAAAGACUCUAAGGAGACAAGAACAUGAAAAACCAAGCAAACUAUAAUUCUCCAAGACCUAAAAAAGAAGACUCAUAGCUCCUCCUUCAUGUUACUAAUUUCAUACAGCAUAAUGAAAAAAGAGACUAACAGCUUUGAGCCUUGCCAAGAUGGAUGGUUCAGAUAGUGGUAAUUUCUUAGUUUAGGGGGAGAAGUGUAAAUUUUUAGGCUUGGCCACUGCCAUGUUCCAUCCACGCUGCAGUUUGGAAUGAGCUCACAAUGUUCAGCUGACAACAGAAGAAAAAGUAACAGAAUGUCUCAGAAAAUGGCUAUUCAUGUCCAAAUACAAAAUGCAACUUUUUGGAAGGACUUUCCUAUAAUUAAACAGGAGCUUAAUUUUGGGCUGGCUUUUGUAUUUGCUCAAAAUUGAAGCUUUUCCUCUUUUAUGAGAUCUUCACUGUCAUUGUAUUUUUACGUGAACACUUGUUUGUACAAGUGAUAUGUACUGAGUACAGGACAUAUACUUAACAACAGACAUGCAGUUUAUAUUGUAUUUUGUAGGUUCAGGAUGAGCACUACUAAGGAAAAAUGCAGCAUGUUAUUGAACUCUGGGGAGAUCAUGAUAGGCAUACAAAUAUGUGCUCUUAUAAUUAUGCUUCCUUAACCUCUGUCAAUUUGCAAUGGACAUUUUAAAUUCAAUGUGGAAUCAAGUUUACUCAUUUGUUCAUGUUUUUUGUCACAGCUGGAAUCUCCACUGGCAUUGAUUUUACACUGCUUCUAUUUCAUUCACUUCAGUGGUAUUCAUAAGAUAGAAGAUGAUGCAAUCAUUUUAGUUUUACACCACACGGAAUAACAUGCCUUCAGACAAGACUGGUAUCUGGCUAAUGGCGACUUCAAAGUCUUACAUGCUGUAACAAACAACGUCAGGAGGAAGGACAGGAUCUGCCCCAUGUCAUUCCUACUGGCAUUGUCUUAUUCUAUGCUACUAGAAAGACAAAGUAAGCAUGGCAAUAUACUCUGGAACAGGUGGAAAACAAGGGACACUCCAAGCUGUUUCUUUAUGUUACUGAAUACUCAGUGUUUAUGUUACUUUUAUAACGGACAGCAGACAUCAUCUAUUUUACAUAGAUUACUAUUCUGAAUGGGUAAAUACAAACAUAUUUCUGCAUCUUCUCCUAACACCAUAUUAAAUUUCCUAAUUCAAUGGUUAAAAAUUAUGAAAGUGCUAAAAUGUGCAUAAUAGUGUUAGUGCUUGUUCAUUUAUGUCUAUACCGUUCUGGAGUAUCUCAUAUACAGUGUUGCACUGGUGCUGCAUCACUCCAAGAAACCCAUUUUCAGUGAAGAUUGGUGUGGGUAUACUAUACAUUGUCACAGUAUUGCUUCCUCAAUAAACUAAGACUGUAGG